UACGAAGGGGGCUAGCGUUGCUCGGAAUCACUGGGCGUAAAGGGUGCGUAGGCGGGUCUUUAAGUCAGGGGUGAAAUCCUGGAGCUCAACUCCAGAACUGCCUUUGAUACUGAAGAUCUUGAGUUCGGGAGAGGUGAGUGGAACUGCGAGUGUAGAGGUGAAAUUCGUAGAUAUUCGCAAGAACACCAGUGGCGAAGGCGGCUCACUGGCCCGAUACUGACGCUGAGGCACGAAAUCGUGGGGAGCAAACGGG
rnacentral:rRNA from 1 species